GACUCCUACGGGAGGCAGCAGUGGGGAAUAUUGCACAAUGGGCGCAAGCCUGAUGCAGCCAUGCCGCGUGUAUGAAGAAGGCCUUCGGGUUGUAAAGUACUUUCAGCAGUGAGGAAGGUGGGUAUGUUAAUAGCAUACUCAUUUGACGUUAGCUGCAGAAGAAGCACCGGCUAACUCCGUGCCAGCAGCCGCGGUAAUACGGAGGGUGCGAGCGUUAAUCGGAAUUACUGGGCGUAAAGCGCAUGCAGGUGGUUUGUUAAGUCAGAUGUGAAAGCCCGGGGCUCAACCUCGGAAUUGCAUUUGAAACUGGCAAACUAGAGUACUGUAGAGGGGGUAGAAUUUCAGGUGUAGCGGUGAAAUGCGUAGAGAUCUGAAGGAAUACCGGUGGCGAAGGCGGCCCCCUGGACAGAUACUGACACUCAGAUGCGAAAGCGUGGGGAGCAAACAGGAUUAGAUACCCUGGUAG
rnacentral:rRNA from 1 species